rnacentral:rRNA from 1 species
AUACGGAGGAUCCGAGCGUUACCCGGAUUUAUUGGGUUUAAAGGGAGCGUAGGUGGACAUGUAAGUCAGUUGUGAAAGUUUGCGGCUCAACCGUAAAAUUGCAGUUGAUACUGUGUGUCUUGAGUACAGUAGAGGUGGGCGGAAUUCGUGGUGUAGCGGUGAAAUGCUUAGAUAUCACGAAGAACUCCGAUUGCGAAGGCAGCUCACUAGACUGUUACUGACACUGAUGCUCGAAAGUGUGGGUAUCAAACAGGAUUAGAUACCCUGGUAGUCCACACAGUAAACGAUGAAUACUCGCUGUUUGCGAUAUACAGUAAGCGGCCAAGCGAAAGCAUUAAGUAUUCCACCUGGGGAGUACGCCGGCAACGGUGAAACUCAAAGGAAUUGACGGGG